CAGUCGCCGCGGUAAUACGAAGGGUGCAAGCGUUACUCGGAAUUACUGGGCGUAAAGCGUGCGCAGGCGGUUAUGUAAGACAGUUGUGAAAUCCCCGGGCUCAACCUGGGAACUGCAUCUGUGACUGCAUAGCUAGAGUACGGUAGAGGGGGAUGGAAUUCCGCGUGUAGCAGUGAAAUGCGUAGAUAUGCGGAGGAACACCGAUGGCGAAGGCAAUCCCCUGGGCCUGCACUGACGCUCAUGCACGAAAGCGUGGGGAGCAAACAGGAUUAGAUACCCCGGUAGUCCCUGUCUCUUAUAC
rnacentral:rRNA from 1 species